GGUGCUCAUUUUGGCAACGACGGCGCAAGUAGAAAGUAAGGCAGCUUGUGACGUGAUUUUGGACUAGUUUUUGUUUUUGUGUGUCAGCAAGGCAAUCUACAGUACAGUUGACUAGAAAGGGAGUUGGGCUUAGAGUUUGGGCUUGAGACAUAGAGGUUGGCCACAUCUCCGAGUUUUGAGAUGUCUUGAUGUUUUUAUUUAGAAUAAACUUAUUUGCACCUAAAUAUAUAUUUUGAAUCAUAUGUAUAAAAGUUUCUAACAAUAUUUAGUUUUCAUACAGUGGUUUAAUUAAAA